UCAGCUGUCUCCCGACUUACACAUGCAAGUCUCAGCAUACCCGUGAGAACGCCCUUCUACCCUAAUAAAGACGAAGGAGCCGGCAUCAGGCACAGAUUUCCUUGCCCAAGACGCCUAGUAUUACCACGCCCCCAAGGGUAUUCAGCAGUGAUUAACCUUAAGUAUAAGCGCCAGCUUGACUUAGUUAGGGAGAAGAGGGCCGGCCAAUCCGGUGCCAGCCGCCGCGGUCAUACCGUUAGGCCCAAGUUGAUAUUUACCGGCGUAAAGAGUGUAUAAAGUUCCUAUAAAUUAGGGUUAAAUUCAUGCUAGGUCGUCAUAAGCCUGCCCCAGAAGAAAGCCAAAAACGAAAGUUACCCUAAUCAGACUUAAAACACGACAGCUGGGAAACAAACUGGGAUUAGAUACCCCACUAUGCCCAGCCGUAAACAAUUAACUUACACCUAAAAUCGCCUGGGGACUACGAGCAAAGCUUAAAACCCAAAGGACUUGACGGUGUCCCACCCACCUAGAGGAGCCUGUCCUAUAAUCGAUAAUCCCCGUUCAACCUCACCAUUUCUUGCUUUACAGUCUGUAUACCGCCGUCUAAAGCUCACCAUGUGAACGAUUAAAGUCAGCGAAAUGGUCUUACCCACCAACACGUCAGGUCAAGGUGCAGCUAACGAAAUGGGAAGAGAUGGGCUACAAUUUCUAAUAUAGAACAUACGGAUUAUUAGGUGAAACCCCUAAUAUGAAGGUGGAUUUAGUAGUAAAAAGAAAGUAGAGUGUUCUUUUUAACUUGGCUCUGGGACGCGUACACACCGCCCGUCACCCCCCUCGAUAGUAAUAUUUCUAGUACAUAACAAGUAAUCCGCGCCUUAGAGGGGGCAAGUCGUAACA
rnacentral:ncRNA from 1 species